GCCAGCAGCCGCGGUAACACCGGCGGCCCGAGUGGUGAUCGUGAUUAUUGGGUCUAAAGGGUCCGUAGCCGGUUUGGUCAGUCCUCCGGGAAAUCUGAUAGCUCAACUAUUAGGCUUUCGGGGGAUACUGCCAGACUUGGAACCGGGAGAGGUAAGAGGUACUACAGGGGGUAGGAGUGAAAUCUUGUAAUCCCUGUGGGACCACCUGUGGCGAAGGCGUCUUACCAGAACGGGUUCGACGGUGAGGGACGAAAGCUGGGGGCACGAACCGGAUUAGAUACCCGGGUAGUCCCAGCCGUAAACGAUGCUCGCUAGGUGUCAGGCAUGGCGCGACCGUGUCUGGUGCCGCAGGGAAGCCGUGAAGCGAGCCACCUGGGAAGUACGGCCGCAAGGCUGAAACUUAAAGGAAUUGGCGGGGGAGCACAACAACGGGUGGAAGCCUGCGGUUUAAUUGGACUCAACGCCGGACAACUCACCGGGGGCGACAGCAAUAUGUAGGCCAAGCUGAAGACUUUGCCUGAAUCGCUGAGAGGAGUGGUGCAUGG
rnacentral:rRNA from 1 species